rnacentral:rRNA from 1 species
UACGAAGGGGACUAGCGUUGUUCGGAUUUACUGGGCGUAAAGCGCGCGUAGGCGGAUCGCUAAGUCAGGGGUGAAAUGCCGAGGCUCAACCUCGGAACUGCCUUUGAUACUGACGAUCUGGAGAUUGGGAGAGGUGAGUGGAAUUCCGCGUGUAGAGGUGAAAUUCGUAGAUAUUCGGAGGAACACCAGAAGCGAAGGCGGCUCACUGGCCCAAUACUGACGCUGAGGCGCGAAAGCGUGGGGAGCAAACAGG